GUGAGCUCGAUGAGUAGGGCGGGACACGUGGUAUCCUGUCUGAAUAUGGGGGGACCAUCCUCCAAGGCUAAAUACUCCUGACUGACCGAUAGUGAACCAGUACCGUGAGGGAAAGGCGAAAAGAACCCCGGCGAGGGGAGUGAAAAAGAACCUGAAACCGUGUACGUACAAGCAGUGGGAGCCUCUUAAUGGGGUGACUGCGUACCUUUUGUAUAAUGGGUCAGCGACUUAUAUUCUGUAGCAAGGUUAACCGAAUAGGGGAGCCGAAGGGAAACCGAGUCUUAACUGGGCGUUAAGUUGCAGGGUAUAGACCCGAAACCCGGUGAUCUAGCCAUGGGCAGGUUGAAGGUUGGGUAACACUAACUGGAGGACCGAACCGACUAAUGUUGAAAAAUUAGCGGAUGACUUGUGGCUGGGGGUGAAAGGCCAAUCAAACCGGGAGAUAGCUGGUUCUCCCCGAAAGCUAUUUAGGUAGCGCCUCGUGAAUUCAUCUCCGGGGGUAGAGCACUGUUUCGGCAAGGGGGUCAUCCCGACUUACCAACCCGAUGCAAACUGCGAAUACCGGAGAAUGUUAUCACGGGAGACACACGGCGGGUGCUAACGUCCGUCGUGAAGAGGGAAACAACCCAGACCGCCAGCUAAGGUCCCAAAGUCAUGGUUAAGUGGGAAACGAUGUGGGAAGGCCCAGACAGCCAGGAUGUUGGCUUAGAAGCAGCCAUCAUUUAAAGAAAGCGUAAUAGCUCACUGGUCGAGUCGGCCUGCGCGGAAGAUGUAACGGGGCUAAACCAUGCACCGAAGCUGCGGCAGCGACACUAUGUGUUGUUGGGUAGGGGAGCGUUCUGUAAGCCUGUGAAGGUGGCCUGUGAGGGUUGCUGGAGGUAUCAGAAGUGCGAAUGCUGACAUAAGUAACGAUAAAGCGGGUGAAAAGCCCGCUCGCCGGAAGACCAAGGGUUCCUGUCCAACGUUAAUCGGGGCAGGGUGAGUCGACCCCUAAGGCGAGGCCGAAAGGCGUAGUCGAUGGGAAACAGGUUAAUAUUCCUGUACUUGGUGUUACUGCGAAGGGGGGACGGAGAAGGCUAUGUUGGCCGGGCGACGGUUGUCCCGGUUUAAGCGUGUAGGCUGGUUUUCCAGGCAAAUCCGGAAAACC
rnacentral:rRNA from 1 species